rnacentral:rRNA from 1 species
AUUGAACGCUGGCGGCAUGCCUUACACAUGCAAGUCGAACGGCAGCACGGGUGCUUGCACCUGGUGGCGAGUGGCGAACGGGUGAGUAAUACAUCGGAACAUGUCCUGUAGUGGGGGAUAGCCCGGCGAAAGCCGGAUUAAUACCGCAUACGAUCUACGGAUGAAAGCGGGGGACCUUCGGGCCUCGCGCUAUAGGGUUGGCCGAUGGCUGAUUAGCUAGUUGGUGGGGUAAAGGCCUACCAAGGCGACGAUCAGUAGCUGGUCUGAGAGGACGACCAGCCACACUGGGACUGAGACACGGCCCAGACUCCUACGGGAGGCAGCAGUGGGGAAUUUUGGACAAUGGGCGAAAGCCUGAUCCAGCAAUGCCGCGUGUGUGAAGAAGGCCUUCGGGUUGUAAAGCACUUUUGUCCGGAAAGAAAUCCUUGGCCCUAUUACGGUCGGGGGAUGACGGUACCGGAAGAAUAAGCACCGGCUAACUACGUG